rnacentral:rRNA from 1 species
AUUGAACGCUGGCGGCAGGCCUAACACAUGCAAGUCGAGCGGAGCGGCGGACGGGUGCGUAAUGCAUAGGAAUCUGCCUGGUAGUGGGGGAUAACGUCCGGAAAAGGGCGCUGAUAACGCAUACUAACAGAUGAGCCUAGGUCGGAUUAGCUAGUUGGUGGGGUAAAGGCCUACCAAGGCGACGAUCCGUAACUGGUCUGAGAGGAUGAUCCGUCACACUGGAACUGAGACACGGUCCAGACUCCUAGGGGAGGCAGCAGGGGGGAAUAUUGGACAAUGGGCGAAGUCCUGAUCAAGACAUGCCGCGUGUUUGAAGAAGGUCUUCGGAUUGUAAAGCACUUUAAGUUGGGAGGCGUUACCAACAUAAUAAGCACCGGCUAACUUCGUGCCAGCCGCCGCGGUAAUAC